CCCCAGCCUCGCUGCCGCCUUGCAGUUUGAUCUCAGACUGCUGUGCUAGCAAUCAGCGAGACUCCCUGUGAGUAGGACCCUCCGAGCCAGGUGCGGCUUAUAAUCUCGUGGUGCGCCGUUUUUUAAGCCGGUCGGAAAAGCGCAGUAUUCGGGUGGGAGUGACCCGAUUUUCCAGGUUGAUUUUUGAGUAGUGAACCAGCUUUGCAUUCCUG
rnacentral:lncRNA from 1 species